AACGAACGCUGGCGGCAUGCCUAACACAUGCGAGUCGAACGAGACCUUCGGGUCUAGUGGCGCACGGGUGCGUAACGCGUGGGAACCUGCCCUUAGGUUCGGAAUAACUCCCCGAAAGGGGUGCUAAUACCGGAUAAUGUCUUCGGACCAAAGAUUUAUCGCCUUUGGAUGGGCCCGCGUUGGAUUAGCUAGUUGGUAGGGUAAAAGCCUACCAAGGCGACGAUCCAUAGCUGGUCUGAGAGGAUGAUCAGCCACACUGGGACUGAGACACGGCCCAGACCCCUCCGGAGGGAGGCAGUGGGGAAUUUGGGACAUUGGCGAAAGCCUGAUCCAGCAAUGCCGCGUGAGUGAUGAAGGCCUUAGGGUUGUAAAGCUCUUUUACCCGGGAUGAUAAUGACAGUACCGGGAGAAUAAGCUCCGGCUAACUCCGUG
rnacentral:rRNA from 1 species